GACCAAGUCCCAUGCAAUGCAGACGCGCCCAACCGAGUCAGGUCCGGAAGGAAGCAGCUCUCAGCGAUUGUUUGUGUGUGACGUGGUCAGCUUGGUCCCA
rnacentral:SRP_RNA from 1 species